rnacentral:ncRNA from 2 species
ACAUAUCGUGAUUGGACAGGUGCCUUUCCGCGAAAGACACGGACAGGCUUAAUAGGGAAGUCCGGUGCAAAGCCGGCGCGGUCCCGCCACUGUAAGGAAGAGUGUCCCUCCGAGUUCGCCCACUGGUCUUGCUGCAUGGAUGGCCGGGAAGGGGGAGGGAGCGAUGACUCCGAGCCAGGAGACCUGCCUGUUCACUCGACACCCG